UAGGGGGCAAGCGUUAUCCGGAUUUACUGGGUGUAAAGGGAGCGUAGACGGCAAUGCAAGCCAGAUGUGAAAGCCCGGGGCUCAACCACGGGACUGCAUUUGGAACUGUGUGGCUGGAGUGUCGGAGAGGCAGGCGGAAUUCCUAGUGUAGCGGUGAAAUGCGUAGAUAUUAGGAGGAACACCAGUGGCGAAGGCGGCCUGCUGGACGAUGACUGACGUUGAGGCUCGAAAGCGUGGGGAGC
rnacentral:rRNA from 1 species